UGACCAUUUCUUUCGCACCUUGCGGGAGAAAUCAAACGCCAUACGGACAGCUGGGUCAAAAUGCCGG
rfam:Clostridium sp. MSTE9 ctg120006483000, whole genome shotgun sequence.